rnacentral:rRNA from 1 species
UGAUGACGAGACGCUAAGGCGUUGAAGCAGUGUAUGUCAGACUUCCAAGAAAAGCUCGCAAUGUCACAAAUAAAGAAUGCCUGUACCAUAACCGACACAGGUGGGUAGGUAGAGUAUACUAAGGGGCGCGAGAUAACUCUCUCUAAGGAACUCGGCAAAAUGACUCCGUAACUUCGGGAGAAGGAGUGCCUUAUUUAUAAGGUUGCAAUAACAAGAUCCAAGCAACUGUUUAUCAAAAACACAGGUCUCCGCUAAGUCGUAAGACGAUGUAUGGGGGCUGACGCCUGCCCAGUGCCAGAAGGUUAAAGAAGUUGGUUAGUGUAUGCGAAGCUGAUGACUGAAGCCCUGGUGAACGGCGGCCGUAACUAUAACGGUCCUAAGGUAGCGAAAUUCCUUGUCGGGUAAGUUCCGACCCGCACGAAAGGCGUAAUGAUUUGGAUACUGUCUCGGAGAGAGGCUCGGUGAAAUAGACUUGUCUGUGAAGAUGCGGACUACCUGCACCAGGACAGAAAGACCCUAUGAAGCUUUACUGUAACUUGAAAUUGGAAUUGGACUUUGCUUGCGCAGUAUAGGUGGGAAGCGUUGAAAAUAUUCUUGCGGGAGUAUUGGAGCUAUCAGUGAGAUACCACUCUUGUAAUGUUAGAUUUCUAACUUUGAACCAUAAUCUGGUCAAAGAACAGUUUCAGGUGGGCAGUUUGACUGGGGCGGUCGCCUCCCAAAUGGUAACGGAGGCGUACAAAGGUUUCCUCUGAACGGAUAGAAAUCGUAUCUAGAGUGUAAAGGCAUAAGGAAGCUUGACUGUGAGACCUACAAGUCGAGCAGGGACGAAAGUCGGUCUUAGUGAUCUGACGGUACUGAGUGGAAAGGCCGUCACUCAACGGAUAAAAGUUACUCUAAGGAUAACAGGCUGAUCUCCCCCAAGAGUUCACAUCGACGGGGAGGUUUGGCACCUCGAUGUCGGCUCAUCGCAUCCUGGGGCGGUAGUACGUCCCAAGGGUUGGGCUGUUCGCCCAUGAAAGCGGUACGCGAGCUGGGUUCAGAACGUCGUGAGACAGUUCGGUCCAUAUCCGGUGUAGGCGCUAGAAUAUUGAGAGGAGCCUUCUUUAGUACGAGAGGACCGAGAAGGACACACCGCUGGUGUACCAGUUAUCGUGCCAACGGUAAACGCUGGGUAGCUAUGUGUGGAGUGGAUAACCGCUGAAAGCAUCUAAGUGGGAAGCCCACCUCGAGAUGAGUAUUCUC